AUUGAACGCUGGCGGAAUGCUUUACACAUGCAAGUCGAACGGCAGCACGGGGCAACCUGGUGGCGAGUGGCGAACGGGUGAGUAAUACAUCGGAACGUGCCCAAUCGUGGGGGAUAACGUAGCGAAAGUUAUGCUAAUACCGCAUACGAUCUACGGAUGAAAGCGGGGGAUCGCAAGACCUCGCGCGAAUGGAGCGGCCGAUGUCAGAUUAGGUAGUUGGUGGGGUAAAGGCGCACCAAGCCGACGAUCUGUAGCUGGUCUGAGAGGACGACCAGCCACACUGGGACUGGGACACGGCCCAGACUCCUACGGGAGGCAGCAGUGGGGAAUUUUGGACAAUGGGCGCAAGCCUGAUCCAGCCAUUCCGCGUGCAGGAUGAAGGCCUUCGGGUUGUAAACUGCUUUUGUACGGAACGAAACGGCGAGCUCUAAUACAGUUUGCUAAUGACGGUACCGUAAGAAUAAGCACCGGCUAACUACGUGCCAGCCGCCGCCGUAACAC
rnacentral:rRNA from 1 species